GAAGGACACUGACAGCUAGGGUGCUGUGACAGCCAAGCUUGAGCCCCAUGGCGGGCUUGUUUCCUGCCACACGCCAGUGCCUGUUUUCCCUGAGGGAGAAAAGUCUUCCAUGGUGUCUGAGGUCUUCAGACAGGCCUGGGCUACUGGGAUCUCUCUAGGAGGAGGCAAGGCACCUUUACUAUCCGAGACAAGGGAAAGACCAGAAGGAGAGACAAAGAGACUGAGACAGAGAGACACACAGAGAAAGCAAAAGCAACAUUAGAUCUGGAAAACUCAAUGACAGCAAGGCUCAUCCUGCUUCUCUGCACAGCAGGACCUAUGGUGCUCAUAUUCAGCAACUUGAAAAUCGAUUCUUUUCCUGGGCGGUGGAACUGCAAAGUCUCAAGGUAAAAGUGUG
rnacentral:lncRNA from 1 species